AAAAAAUGUCUAUUCAAAAUGUGUGGUGGGUUGGAUCAGGGUAAGACAAGGGUUGAUUUCAAUGUGAAUUGCGCACAACCCGGGUUGCUACCAACCGGGGCAGGAAAA